UCCUCACGUAAAGUAUAUGUUACCCAUAUGAAGAACAUCACACAUGCGGAAAGCAGAAACCACCAAAUUUUUGGGACGCAGAUUAUGAGUAGCAGAGCAAUGGCGAGAGCUCUGGCCAGAAGACUUGCGCCAGCAGCAAUUGAGUGGAUGCGACCAGCUGCAAGUUUAACUUCCCAUGCACUACUUACAAUAUGAAGGAGCACAGCAACAACGCACAUGGUUAUGAUAGCAUCGCGUGUACUAGAUGGAGAGAGAGUUUCAGGUUUCAAUUGGAUAAUGGCAGCCAGUGCUCCAAUAGCAGAGAAAAACCAACCAUGUCUGUCCAUUCCCCUAUCAAAUUAAAAACAAAAACUGCUUUAGACCACAGAAACAAUUAAUGAAUGUAUAAAGUUAAACUAAAAGAGUGAUCAGCAUGAAAAAAAAUGCUGCAACUACUUCAGUGUUUGUUUUGAGGAGAAGGGAAGGGAGGAAGUGGGGAAGGGAGGGGCGGGACUGGAACCCUUCACCAUGCAUGCCACAUGAUCCGUGCCAAACAAAAGCCCACGAACCAGCUUAAGUCGAUUCAAAGAAUGAAAGCCACUUACUCUGAUUUUAUCCCAUAUGCCACUGCAACUUAAUGCAGUUGCAGAGAAUUCAUGAAGCAUCUACCAUGCCAUAGUACUGUCAAACUCACAUUCACAUCUACCCAAAUGUAAAAUUUGGGCAUUCUUGUUUCAAGUAAAACAUCAAAAUAAUCUUACAAGAGAUCUAUGUACCAGCUGCAAGGGUUGAAGAGAGGAGCUGUGGCUUGCCAAAACUCAUUGAUCACGACACAAGAAGCAGAAAAGAGAUGGGUUUGUGAAAGCGCCUAAACGCAAUGGGUGUAAAAUUCUUACUGUUUGUAAGUCAUUUCAGGAAUUCUUGACCAAAUUGCAACCUGUUUGGAUGUUAGUGAAUAUUUCAUCCUUGAACAUAACUCUGCAGAUAUUAUGAAUUACGUUGCCAGACACAUUGCAAACGUGCCUUAUAAUUCUACGAGGACAGCAACCAGAUAUUCAGUGUUUUGUCACAAGAAUUUCCAGCUCCAAGGAGGAGAUGCUAAGAUUCAUAUGACAGGUGCUGAGUCAGGAAUGGAGGAUAACACUGGACCAGAAUCAA